rnacentral:lncRNA from 1 species
UGUUACAAGUAUCCAUUUAAAAAAAAAUAAAGAGUAAGCAUGGACUAAUAUCCAAUUGUUCAAAAUAUUUGAAGAAAUUAAACAAAAGCUCUGUUAUUAGAAUUUUGACAGUGCGAAUUUAAGCAUGGAUGCAAUUUGGGUACUCCUCAUUUCAGAAUCAUUGAUGGUUUGGAGGUCAGUUUAGACUAAUUUUUCUAUGAUUCCAUAUGGAUUAACAAUCAAAUUGGUGUACCUAUAUAACAAAGAAGGAUACGGC